UCUAAAUCCAUUAUUUUUACGAUUUCUUGGACAAAUGAAUCUUAAUUUGAGAAAAGAAAAUCCAAUGAAGAUAUUAAUUGCAGUAGUUUAUAAAGUUCAUGAUUGACAUUGUAAUGUUUUAAAGCAUGAGGUCCAGAAUGUGAUUAUUCCUUAAAUAAAAAAGUGCAUACUGCAUAAGUGAUAGUAUAUUAGUUCACAAAUUUUUUGGGCUCUGAGCUCUUUUUAGGUAUGGAACUGAGCCUCAGAUUGGCUAUAUUUUAGGUUGAGCUGUGUUCAGGCUAGAAAGCUGAAGCUCAUUUGAAUCUGAGCCAAGUUCAAGUGUAGUAAUGAACCAAUCUUGACCAAAGAAAAACUGGACUUGGCUCGUUUAAUGCCUUACUCAAUAUCUUGGUGUUUCAGUGAACUGAUGAGUCUUGGUAUAACGUAUUUACGCGAUUGCAUUCUGUAAAAAAGACAAUGAAGCCAAUCAAAAUUUUAAUUAGUUUGAGAACUCUUCAUCUGCCGCAUAGUUGACAAAUUCGCAAAUGUAUUAAAACCACUUUUGAUGUUGAUGGCUACUCUGUCAACUCUAGAUUGUGUCAUGAUAUUCUCACUAAACUGCUUUUUACAUAUACUUAGCCUUCCAGGUUUAGUUUUUCCUAAGAGAAUGGAAAACUUAGUAUUUGCUACAACCUAUUUAUCACAUUAGAUGAUGUUUUUGGGGCGUGGUAUUCACUUAUGAG
rnacentral:misc_RNA from 1 species